ensembl:lncRNA
AGAGGAUAAAAAGCAAGAGAGAGAGGUGGUCGGUGUGGUUUUUCUCCCUUGUGAAAAGUCGUUUUAUUGGGUGGUAAUAGUUACUGGAGGACGGGUGAAUGAAGAGGAAAGUGUUGCUUUGAUGAGGGAUUCGAGGACAACAGAAGGAGAGUGAAAUACCCUGUUUGCAUUGGAGAGGAGCUAAAGCAACAUCUCAGAACAUCCUCAGUGGCAGUGAGGAUCGCGCCUUCCCCUCGGACCGAAACCCGAAUAAAAGCCCUGUGCAAUCUGUUUACUUCGAGUCUGCUGUAUCCCUGCCAUUCAACUGUAUGGUGAGAAGUGUUUGUUCCUUCCAACGCAUGUGAACUGUAUACUUUGUCUGGAGCAUUCAUUCUGUCUGUCUCAGUAGAAACCCUGCACAGCCUGCUGACGUCGAGUUUGUUGCAUCCUUGUAGCCCACCUGAGCUGAGAGCAGUGGCUGUUCCCUCUGUCAUGAAUCUGAGGCUGGCAUGCUCUGUCUGGAAUAUCCACUCUGUCUGUGUCAGAAGAAGCCCCGUUCAGCCCGUUGACUUCGAGUCUGCUGUAUCCCUGCCAUUCAUCUGUAUUGUGAGAAGUGUUCGUUCCUUCCAACGCAUGUGAAUUGUAUACUUUGUCUGAAGCAUUCAUUCUGUCUGUGUCAGUAGAAACCCUGCACAGCCUGUUGACCUAGAGUUUGUUGCAUCCUUGUGGCCCACCUGUGCUGAGAGAGAUGACUGUCCUUUGUCACGAACGUGAGGCUGGCACGCUUUGUCUGGAAUAUCCACUCUGACGGUGUCAGGAGAAACCACCUUACUGUAAGACCGUGCACCUGCCGUAUACGUACUCGACUGAUAUCAUUCACCUCAAAUUCCGUACCUGUGGAAGAAGGAAGGCUGGAAUUACAUACUUACCGGAGGAGACUUACCGGACCCCUCACUUGCCAAACACAUCCCCACCUCAAGGCUGUGUAUCUGCCGUGUACGGACCUGACCGAUAUCCAUCCGUCCCAAAUUCUGCAUCUGUGAAAAAGGGAAGGAAGGUUGGAAGUAUUUAAUUAUCAGAGGAGACUUACCAGACUGUUGGCUUGCCGAUCGUAUCCCCACCUGUGAAAUACCUACUUGACCACCCAUCUGUCCAUCUAUUACGGGGCCCGCACAGAGGAAGAGGGCGGGAGAGUCCCCGGUCGCUGCACUGUUCACCUUCGAUUCCUGAGGGCAUCAAAGAUUUUAGAUUAGGAUUUCCAAUUUGCUUUUACUUCAAAAUAAAACUUGUUAAAUUUAUUCUCUGUCUCCGACUCUUCCCUCUGAUACGCUCCUCGAGGUGGUCCUGGUUUAGGGGUGGGCGCAGUCUAGCUUGGGCCUCCCGACCUGUGACUUAUUAUUAUUUUAUUUUUUUUUU